CACUACAGUUGCGAAGUCCGAUUGCCCGUAUGACAGAAUGGUAGUUGCCGGGUAUAAUAUGAUCAGAGGAAUCUUUCCAGACAGCGCCUAUGUGUUUAAUUACAAAGAUGCUUAUGGAUUGAGUCAAGAUGAGGCGGAGAAAGUGAGUGAUCACUGGCCCAUUGAGA